GACGAACGCUGGCGGCGUGCUUAACACAUGCAAGUCGAACGGAAAGGCGCCCUUGUGGGGUACUCGAGUGGCGAACGGGUGAGUAACACGUGAGUACCCUACCAUUGUCCUUGGGAUUACUUCAGGACACCGGGGCAAAUUCCCGAAUGGAGCUCCUGCUGAAUGGUGGGGGUUGGAAGGUUUCGGGCGUUGUGGAUGGACUCGCGGCUUAUCUGCUUGUUGGUGGGGUUGUGGCUCACCAGGGCGUUUACGGGUGGCCGGCCUGAGAGGGUGACCGGCCACAUUGGGACUGAGAUACGGCCCAGACUCGUACGGGAGGGAGCAGUGGGGGAUAUUGCACAAUGGGGGGACGGCUGAUGGAGCGACGCCGCGUGCGGGAUGACGGCCUUCGGGUUGUAAACCGCUUUCGCCUGUGACGAAGCGUGAGUGACGGUAAUUGGUAAAGAAGCACCGGCUAACUACGUG
rnacentral:rRNA from 1 species